CAUCGGUGACAGGUGGUGCAUGGUUGUCGUCAGCUCGUGUCGUGAGAUGUUGGGUUAAGUCCCGCAACGAGCGCAACCCCUAUUGUUAGUUGCCAUCAUUCAGUUGGGCACUCUAGCGAGACUGCCGGUAAUAAACCGGAGGAAGGUGGGGAUGACGUCAAAUCAUCAUGCCCCUUAUGACCUGGGCUACACACGUGCUACAAUGGUUGGUACAACGAGUUGCGAGUCGGUGACGGCGAGCUAAUCUCUUAAAGCCAAUCUCAGUUCGGAUUGCAGGCUGCAACUCGCCUACAUGAAGUCGGAAUCGCUAGUAAUCGCGGAUCAGCACGCCGCGGUGAAUACGUUCCCGGGCCUU
rnacentral:rRNA from 1 species